CAGCCGCCACGGUAACACGUAGGGUGCAAGCGUUAAUCGGAAUUACUGGGCGUAAAGCGUGCGCAGGCGGUUUUGUAAGUCUGUCGUGAAAUCCUCGGGCUCAACCUGGGAAUGGCGAUGGAGACUGCAAGGCUAGAAUCUGGCAGAGGGGGGUAGAAUUCCACGUGUAGCAGUGAAAUGCGUAGAUAUGUGGAGGAACACCGAUGGCGAAGGCAGCCCCUUGGGAAUGUACUGACGCUCAUGUGCGAAAGCGUGGGGAGCAAACAGGAUUAGAUACCCCGGUAGUCCCUGUCUCUUAUAC
rnacentral:rRNA from 1 species